rnacentral:piRNA from 1 species
UCAUUUCUGCCUUUCUGUUGUAAUUGAUGCC